UGCAUCAGCCAGGAAUCGAACCCGGGGCGCCCGCGUGGCAGGCGAGCAUUCUACCACUUAACCAAAAGC
rnacentral:tRNA from 1 species